rnacentral:tRNA from 1 species
GAAAAAGAAUGCAAGAACUGCUAACUCAUGCUUCCGUGUAUAAAAACACGGCUUUUUUCA